ACAGGGCUAAAGCCUGAACAGGUGGAGUGGCUAACCAAGGAGUUCUCCAUCUAUAUGACAAAGGACGGCCGCAUUUCUGUGGCAGGGGUCACCUCCGGCAACGUGGGCUACCUUGCCCAUGCCAUUCACCAGGUCACCAAGUAAUGUACCUGGUGCAAGGAAACAGAGACGACCUUUCUGUCUUCAGCCUCUGCUAUUGGGAGCUUCACACAGAGGAUGAGAGAGAGCGGAUGGUGAUAAAACUCUGCAAAGACAAUGUCUAGCACUUAUAUCUCCAGUAACUCCUGUCAAGGUUUAUUGUUGCUUGUUCAUCAUUGCAGUCCUGACUACAAGUGUGAUUGCACUUUCUAUUGUUUUGUCAGAAUUUCCUGAAAAGAUACAAAGGCCCUUCUGACCAUUGGAUUGGCCUUAGAAGAGAAUCAUCCCAUCGCAUUUGGAAAUGGACAGACAACAUGGAAUAUAAUAACAUGCUUGCUAUCAGAGGAAGUGGAGAAUGUGCCUUCCUGAAUGACAAUGGAGUCAACAGUGGCAGAAUCUACAUGAACAGAAAAUGGAUUUGUAGCAAGCCAAACAAUUAUGUCUACAGUUGCCAGUUAUGUCCCCACUGGGAUACUACCUA
rnacentral:lncRNA from 1 species